GACGAACGCUGGCGGCGUGCCUAACACAUGCAAGUCGAACGGAAAGGCCCUGCUUUUGUGCGGUGCUCGAGUGGCGAACGCGUGCGUAACAAGUGAGUAACCUGCUCUUGACUUUCGGAUAACUUCAGGAAACUGGGGCUAAUAUCGGACAGGAGCUCCUGCUGCAUGGUGGGGGUUGGAAAGUUUCGGCGGUUGGGGAUGGACUCGCGGCUUAUCAGCUUGUUGGUGGGGUAGUGGCAUACCCAGGCUUUGACGGGUAGCCGGCCUGAGAGGGUGACCGGCCUCAUUGGGACUGAGAUACGGCCCAGACGCCUACGGGAGGCAGCAGUGGGAAAUAUUGCACAAUGGGCGGAAGCCUGAUGCAGCGGCGCCGCGUGCGGGAUGACGGCCUUCGGGUUGUAAACCGCUUUCGCCUGUGACGAAGCGUGAGUGACGGUAAUGAGUAAAGAAGCACCGGCUAACUACGUG
rnacentral:rRNA from 1 species